GCAGGGUCCACUGAGUACCAACGUAUAAUCCCCAUUGGCGGGGCCCACUGAAACAUAGUUAGGCUGAGAGCAUAAAUCCGAUCUGUAUCAAUACAUUAUGUAUCAUAAUAUACUAUAAUUUUUUUUUUACUGAACGUGUUCAUAAUCGACAUACCAUAAUAUUUUAAAAGUUCUUUUCUUUCAAAACAUAAUUUCAUAAAUCAUGCAUAAUUUAAGAGAAUAAUUAUUUAUUUUCAGAAUAAAUAUGAAAUAUUUCGAGAAGAUGAUUCAUU
rnacentral:lncRNA from 1 species